CUGCUCGAGUUGGCAGCACCUAAGUUAAAACUGGGAAGACGCAGAGAUCAGCAAGGCCCCUCAGAAAGACAUGCAAGUCUGUGAAGCAUACCAUGUAGUU
rnacentral:snRNA from 14 species